rnacentral:lncRNA from 1 species
GCCAGCCAGCACCCACUCAGAGCUGAGCCAGAGAGCAUGUCUCCAGUCCCUAAGGGCAUGGAGGCGCAAAUCUCUCUGGAAACAAGAUCUGGAAACAAGUUGAAGGCUCUUGGUUUUAGCCUCCCCUUGGGAACUUGCUGUGCUUCCCCUGGCAAAUUAACCAUGAUAUCUGUCUGUCCCAGGAGGGGCUGAAAGCCUUCCCCAACCCCAGCUCCUCCACUGUGUAAAACAAAUGAGUUGGGAGUCCCGUGAUCCACUCCCUUCUUAGAAAGCCAG